rnacentral:rRNA from 1 species
UACAGAGGUCCCAAGCGUUGUUCGGAUUCACUGGGCGUAAAGGGUGCGUAGGCGGUCGGGUAAGUCUGACGUGAAAUCUUCAAGCUUAACUUGGAAACUGCGUCGGAUACUAUUCGGCUAGAGGAAUGGAGGGGAGACUGGAAUACUUGGUGUAGCAGUGAAAUGCGUAGAUAUCAAGUGGAACACCAGUGGCGAAGGCGAGUCUCUGGACAUUUCCUGACGCUGAGGCACGAAAGCCAGGGGAGCAAGCGGG